rnacentral:rRNA from 1 species
CAGCAGCCGCGGGAAUACGAAGGGUGCAAGCGUUACUCGGAAUUACUGGGCGUAAAGCAUGCGUAGGUGGUGGUUUAAGUCCGUUGUGAAAGCCCUGGGCUCAACCUGGGAAUUGCAGUGGAUACUGGGUCACUAGAGUGUGGUAGAGGAUAGUGGAAUUUCCGGUGUAGCAGUGAAAUGCGUAGAGAUCGGAAGGAACAUCUGCGGCGAAGGCGACUAUCUGGGCCAACACUGACACUGAGGCACGAAAGCGUGGGGAGCAAACAGGAUUAGAUACCCCCGUAGUCCCUGUCUCUUAUAU